CACUGCUGAGAUAUUAAUUAUACACAGCACCCGUGGAAAGUGGGCGAAAACAGUUAGAUAGACAAAAGAUGUUUUGUUUUCUCGCAAGAUGCGGUGUUUGUGCUUUUGGAGAGCAGAAGACACAGUGAGGAAGGGGCUCUAUUGAGAUCUGGUGACUGUGGAGUGCAGUGAACUCACUGUUGUGCUCAUGAACUCAACAGAGAUGAUUUGAGCUGGAAGUGGCCAUCAGAAGAUGCUCUCACUGUGGAUGGACUUCAUCAAUAACAAAAGAAAGUGCAGUCCCUCGUCUCCCUACGCUUCUGCUCUAACGUGACAUCUCCCUUGGCUGCUGACAGCACUAUUGACUAAGAUGAUGGAUGAGGGCUGUCCAUUAGGUUGCAUUACCUUUGUCUACACUGGAGCACUCUUGAAGGCAGCUUUGUUCUAACCUCACUCAAACUGAAAGGCAGACAAAUGAAGCCAUCAAACACACUAGAAGUUCCAGCCUUGUCACUUAUCGUUUUAACUGGGCUGCUGUUUUGGGUUUUUUUUAAGGUGAGAUGGAGGUGCUCUGUUAUCUUUCAUAUGAAAACAUAGCAUGUAUUUUUGAAUCUGAUAUUGUAGCCCAGAGGUUCUCAAAUUUCAUGUUCAAAAGUCCAAUAAGGACCAACUUCUGCAAUAUUCCAGUUUUACAGACAAUUUUGUUUCAUAAAUUGAAUUCCAAGUUUGCAUUGCCCACACAUAAAAAUUCCUUAUUGACUGUGGUUUAGUGCAAAUCUGUACCAAAGAGUCUCUGUUCCAGCCUGAAAACAUUUAUUUUUUUCUU